CGGCUUCUUGGUCGAGGGGUCGACGACGGCGACGUUGGAGAUGUGGAUCGGGGCUUCCAUCGUCUCGAUGCCGCCC
rnacentral:tRNA from 4 species